rnacentral:tRNA from 1 species
CGUUAAGAAGCUAAUAUAAGCAUUAACCUUUUAAGUUAAAGAUAGGGAGCCUACACUUCCCCUUAACGA